CAGGUUAAUAUAUUUAAAAACAGUUUCAGAAAUUCUAUAAAAUGUUUAGAAAAUCAUUGUGCUAAUUUAAAAAUCUGAUUCGGAAAAAUAAAAUUAUGAUAAACAAAUCCCCCCCCAAAUUAUGUUAAACAAAACCAGAAAUAUGAUCUAUGCUGACUUCAUUCACAAUGGACAGCGAAGAAAAACAUACAGUAUCAUUCACACCUCAACAGCAUUUGCUUAAUUGAUGUCUAAACCCCUACUGCAUGCAAGAACAAAACAAAAAGGUGUGUAAAAAGAUGCUAAAAGAUUCUGCUAAAAUAUGACAAUACUCAUGAAUCAAUACAUAUUCCAGUGCCCUAGGCACUAUUAUCAACAUUUUAAAACAUUGUAAAACAUUUAUAAUCCUCUCUUACUCAAACAGUAAAACUACAGACAAUUCAAUGUCUUGUUCCAGCACAGGGAAAAUGAGAGAGGAACAAGGGGUCAUUUCUCCAGGACCUGAAGAUCAAUACCAGAGCCAUCUUCUUCUAUACAGAGAACAAAACAACAACAUACACAUCAGACAUGUCAGACCAUUCAUUCUACAGCAGACCGUAAAGAUGGAAUAGUUAAUAUGCUGUUGCUGUGGUAAAAUUAAAAGACAACCCAUGACCAUGACAGCUUUCUCUCGCUCUCUCUGCUCAACCUCAGGAAAAUGGAAGUGUUCCCAUCUUAAGGACAACCACCGAGAAAAGGACUAGUUUCAAUCAUAGACAUACCUAUUUCUUCUUCUUCUUUUUAUAUUCAUCUAUCCCCAUUUUAGCUACAAACACAGUUAAAUGUGCUGCUUCUAUAAGCUAGUGCAUACACUGUCAUUGGUUGUCCAGUUGGGCCCUUGAUAGGUUUAGGUUGAUUUGAAGAUAUUGGUACAUAUGCAGAAACACACAUGAAAUGUGAUGUCAUGUAUGUCAUGUGUGUCAUGAAAAUUGUGUUCUUUAAGUGUCACUGAGUAUACUGAUACUCAAUUUCAUGGGUUCACAUUUCAAAGUUGGAUGGCAGGUAGCCUAGUGGUUAGAGUGUUGGACUAGUAACUGAAUGGUUGCAAGUUCACAUCUCUCAGCUGACAAAAUAAAAAAUCUGUUAUUCUACCUCUGAAUAAGGACCAACCACUGAUCCUUGGCUGUCAUUGAAAACAAGUUUUUUUAUCUUAACUGACCUUCCUAGUUAAAUAAAGGUUAAAAAAAUAGUUAAGGCUGUACAGUGCAUACAAGUAUGCCCAAUGCAAUUAUGCAGUCUAAAAUAUCCACAGUGUGAUUUGAAUUGUUUUCUGAUUAUUGUCAAAUAUAUUAAUUAUUGUAUUUUAAAUUAUGUAACAACAUUCCAACCUUGUAUAACUUAAUCUAGUACAAACAUAUGACAUGAUUCCACCUUUUGUAUUCGUUUGCAUCACCUUCAAUAGGGACUUUAAAUUUGAAGGUGAAUCUCAAAUUCCAACGAUUGGCUAAUCAUUAUUGUGGCUCAUUUCACACAGGUAAAUGAACCAAUCCGAACUGUCUGUCUGUCGAUGGUGAUGGGAGAGCUGGCCUCAGUUUCAUGCUAAGCAUCGCGCUAGCACUUACUACUCCCUCAACGGUCCGUGCUGCAUUAUGUUACCGGUAUUCACACAUUUCGUCACUAGUAGUUAGUAUAAUUCUCGAUUAUCAGAAGGUAUAACGGUAAUUGUUUUUGGAAAGCUGCAAAAAAUUGUCGACUUUUCAUGGUCUGAUAAACAUUUCGAAGUGGCAAUUCGUGAAGCAGAUAAAAAUACGUUUUUGAAAACUGAAAAGAUUAGGUCUCGAUGUCUUGCCAAGGCUGCACUGCAGCAUCUACUCACAGGCAUUAUCCCACUACUGGACAGCACGGGGGAUUUGACCUACUUCGAUUCCGACCUGGGUCGGUUCACCCCUCCUUAGACAACCUGGUGGUCCCGGGCUCCCCCAGGAACACCAUAUCGAUACCGAACUUAGCAUGGACACCCGUUCAACGUAGCAUGCUGCAGCCCAGAGCUCCUCAGCUCACUUGAUCCACCAACCUCAGCCUCCCAGUGACUUGGAUUACAGGCACAUGCCACCGUGCCCGGCGAAAAACUCAACUGCAGGUUAAGGUGAUAGAGGUAGGAGUCUGGGACGUAAAUACGAAGGACGGCUGUAGGCUAUAGUCCUUUGCAUGGGAAAAACUAAGAAGUGCUGCUGACUAGAUUGUAAGAAAUAAAAUACGGAUCAUGCUUUACCAUACAUUGUGGAAGUGUAGGCUUACAGUAAAAAAAGGUGGACUCCAAACAUGUUGUGGAAACAUCUCAAGCAUGAUCAAUGGAAAUGAGUCUCAUCGCAAAGGGUCUGAAUACUUAUGUAAAUAAGGUAUUUCAAAGUAUUUUUUUAUUGACAUUCUAUUUUUCACCCCUUUUUCGAAGUUACAGUCUAGUCUCAUCACUGCAACUCCCCUACAGUCGAGAGGAGAGGCGAAGGUUGAGAACCAUGCGUCCUCCGAAACACGACCCUGCCAAGCCGCACUGCUUCUUGACACACUGCUCGAUUAACCCGGAAGCCAGCCGCACCAAUGUGUCGGAGGAAACAUCGUCCAACUGACGAUCGAAAUCAGCUUGCAGGCGCUCGGCCAGCCACAAGGAGUUGCUAGAGCACAUUGAGACAAGGAAAUCCCGGCCGGCCAAACCCCUAACCCGGAAAACGCUAGGUCAAUUGUGCGCCGCCUCAUGGGUACCCCGGUCACGGCCGGCUGUGACAUAGCCUGGGAUCGAAUUUUUUAUAUAUAAUACAUUUUCUUAGAUUUCUAAAAACCUGUUUUCACUUUGUCAUUAUGGGGUAUUGUGUGUAGAUUGAUGAGGAUUUUUUAUUUAUUUAAUCAAUUUUAGAAUAAGGCUGUGACGUAACAAAAUUUGGAAAAAGUCAAGGGAUCUGAAUAAUUUCUGAAUGCACUGUAGGAUACUAGUAGCUAGACUAUAGCCUAGUUCUUUCCAUAUCGUUUGUGUUUUGGUUUCAUUGCACUGAGAAACAGUUGCCAAAUCAAGCAGAAUAUUUAUUCUGAAAAGAAUUUAAAAAAUAUUGAGUUUCAAUCACACUGCAGCGUGUACUCACAGGCACUAUCCCAGUACUGGACGGCAUGGGAGCAUUGACCUGCUUCAUUUCCGUCCUGGGCCAGUGCACCCCUCCAUAGAGGACUUGGUGGUCCCCAGCUCCCCCAGGAACACCAUAUUGAUACCCGUUGGACAGAGCUCCUCAGUUCACUCGAUCCGCCAACCUCAGACUCCAAGUGACUUUGAUUACAGACAAGUGCCACCACGCCAGGCAAGAAACCCAGCUGCAGGUAAAAGGGAUAAAGGUAGGAGCCUGUGACAUCAUUUAAAAUGUGCAACGGUCUGGUCUUGUGCGUGUGUGUGUUAAAUAAAACAUGUCCAAAGUAGUACUGUAGAUCGUAAUACUGUAAUUUUAACUUGGACAGAAGAAAAACAAUUUGUAAUAACCUACUGAAAAUAUAGCCAUUUAUAGACGCUUUUCCAGUACACUACACAUUAACGUCAUGCACAGAUGUGCACAACUCUUUGCGAAAGCCAUUAACAUCUGCGCCCCUUUAACAUUUCCUAGAUUUGAAUUUGUAUUACUUUUAAAGAAAAAAACUUUUGGGGGUUCUCAUAUGCUUACAAUUAUGUUCUGAUUCUUGCUUGAACAUUCGCUAAGAUUAUAUUUGGUUGUGAUCUUUGCAAAAUAACUAUUUUGGAUGCAGCAGUUCUUAGCUAGAAUGCUAAUGCUCAUUGAUUUAAGCAGCAGUAAAAGCUAGCCAAAGAGUCAUUUUACUGGUUGAAGUUGAAGUGUUUUUCAAGUAUAAUGCAGUUGUUGCGAUGAUGACACAAACAGUAUAAUAAGCAGGACAUUCAUACGAGCCUCCAAUUACAAUCCAAAAGUAGGGUGAAUUGUACACAUAAGCAACAUGUAAUACAUUUUUACUUUUAAACUCAGACAAAACAGAGAUGCUCGUUCUAGGUCCCAAGAAACAAAGAGAUCUUCUGCUGGAUCUGACAAUUAUUCUUCAUGUUUGUACAGUCGUCUCGAAUAAAACUGUGAAGGACCUCGGCAUUACUCUGGACCCUGAUCUCUCUUUUGAACAUAUCAAGACUAUUUCAAGGACAGCUUUUUUCCAUCUACGUAACAUUGCAAAAAUCCUAAGCUUUCUGUCCAAAAAUGAUGCAGAAGAGUUCAUCCAUGCUUUUGUCUUUUCUAGAUGAGACUACUGCAAAGCUCUACUUUCCGGCUACCCGGAUAAAGCACUAAAUAAACUUUGGUUAGUGCUAAACAAGGCUGCUAGAAUCUUGACUAGAACCCAAACAUUUGAUCAUAUUACUCCAGUGCUGGCUUCCUGUUACAGAUAUGGCUAAUUUCAAGGUUUUACUGCUAACCUACAAAGCAUUACAUGGGCUUGCUCCUACCUAUCUCUCCGAUUUGGUCCUGCCGUACAUACCUACACGUACGCUACGGUCACAAGACGCAGGACUCCUUAUUGUUCCUAGAAUUUCUAAGCAAACAGCUGGAGGCUGGGCUUUCUCCUAUAGAGCUCAAUUUUUAUGGAAUGGUCUGCCUAUCCAUGUGAGAGACGCAGACUCGGUCUCAACCUUUAAGUCUUUACUGAAGACUCAUCACUUCAGUAGGUCCUAUUAUUGAGUGCAGUCUGGCCCAGGGGUGUGAAGGUGAAUGGAAAGGCACUGGAGCGACUAACAGCCCUUGCUGUCUCUGCCUGGCCGGUUCCCCUCCCUCCACUGGGAUUCUGCCUCUAACCCUAUUACGGGGUCUGAGUCGCUGGCUUAAUGGUGCUUUUCCAUGCCGUCCCUAGGAGGGGUGCGUCACUUGAGUGGGUUGAGUGACUAACGUGAUCUUCCAGUCCGGGUUGGCGCCACCCUCUGGUUCAUGCCGUGGGGGAGAUCUUCGUGGGCUAUACUCAGCCUUGUCUCAGGGUAGACCUGAGCCCUGGGACCAUGCCUCAGGACUACCUGGCCUGAGGACUCCUUGCUGUCCCCAGUCCACCUGGUCGUGCUGCUGCUCCAGUUUCAACUGUUCUGCCUGCGGCUAUGGAACCGUGACCUGUUCACCGGACGUGCUACCUUGUCCCAGACCCGCUGUUUUGCUCCACAUGAUGCAUCCAUUAUGUCACAGGGUUGAAAGCAGAAUCAUACAGUUAAAUGUGUUAUGGAGAAGGAUAUUCAGGUAUCGGAAUCCAACUGACAGAAAGACUUUGGCAAUGUACUGCUGCAUUACUCCCAACCCCAACCCCCCCCCUCUUAGUGAUGUAACUUCCUCAGUGUGUGCCUCUGCAUUGACCUGGUGUUGUGUUUACCUUGAAAUGUGUGCAAUGGCUAUCAAUCAUUAAUAAGCAUACACUCUCACCAGAGCCCUGAUGGCUUGGGCCUUAGGGCUGGAGAUAGAUUAAAGACAGGUCUACUCCUGCUUAAAAUAGAAAGCACUAGACCAGACCUGCACAAUGGAGGUUUUCAUUUUCCUAUGUGGUACUGCGGUUUAAACACACAGUAAUGGUUUUACCUGCUAUACGCUUUAUUUAACGCAUGAGCAGACAUUACGCUAUCUAAUUAAUAACACUUAGUUUGAGUGAGGAAAUAGGGUACUCCUUGUUGUAGAGAUCUCCUCAUUCUGAGCAGGUUUACCCUAAAGGUUUCCCUAGCCACAUAUUUUGGAUCAUCUUACUCUAUGCAAAACUGACAUUAGAAUAGCUUUUAAGAGCAGCUUCAUCCUACUCACCAUUUAUAGGUCACAUGACCCCCAGCAGCCCAUGGCACUGUCACAAAUGCUUUUACGCAAGGCCACACCAGACUAGAAAAUAAAUCAAAAGUAAAAAAUAAA